UGAUCAGGGCCUUUCUGAGUAA
rnacentral:miRNA from 1 species